GCGUUCCGUCAGCAGGAGGAUGAGAGUCACCGCACUGGAACCACCGCCGCCGGGGCCUUCAUCCAACGCCGCCGCAUAGGCGUAGAAGAAACCGUCAGGGUUGAAGCGGGGCAGGCACACGGGGCUCCAUACCUCGCCCGAGCCCACCUGUGGGGACAGCCAGGGGAUGGGACAGUGCUCAGCUGAGAUAAUGGAGGACAAGAGGGUGGCCACCUCUGGGUGUUUUCACUUUGUCACCUGGUGUCACAAACACCGGAAGAUGGCCAUGAAAGGAACACAUCAUGGUGGCCAACCAACAACCCAAGGUGGCCACCAAUGGAAGACGCCAUCAUGGCAAACCAACAGCCCACGGUGGCCAUGAAGGGAACGCAUCAUGGUGGCCAACCAACACCCC
rnacentral:lncRNA from 1 species